rnacentral:rRNA from 1 species
UACAGAGGUCUCAAGCGUUGUUCGGAUUCAUUGGGCGUAAAGGGUGCGUAGGCGGAUAUGUAAGUCCGUGGUGAAAUCUCUGGGCUUAACCCGGAAACUGCCAUGGAUACUAUGUGUCUUGAAUGUUGUUGAGGUGAGCGGAAUAUGUCAUGUAGCGGUGAAAUGCUUAGAUAUGACAUAGAACACCAAUUGCGAAGGCAGCUCACUAAGCAAAUAUUGACGCUGAGGCACGAAAGCGUGGGGAUCAAACAGG